UUGAACGCUGGCGGCAUGCCUUACACAUGCAAGUCGAACGGUAACAGGUCUUCGGAUGCUGACGAGUGGCGAACGGGUGAGUAAUACAUCGGAACGUGCCCGAGAGUGGGGGAUAACGGAGCGAAAGCUUUGCUAAUACCGCAUACGAUCUACGGAUGAAAGCAGGGGACCCUCGGGCCUUGCGCGAACGGAGCGGCCGAUGGCAGAUUAGGUAGUUGGUGGGAUAAAAGCUUACCAAGCCGACGAUCUGUAGCUGGUCUGAGAGGACGACCAGCCACACUGGGACUGAGACACGGCCCAGACUCCUACGGGAGGCAGCAGUGGGGAAUUUUGGACAAUGGGGGAAACCCUGAUCCAGCCAUUCCGCGUGAGUGAAGAAGGCCUUCGGGUUGUAAAGCUCUUUCGGCAGGAACGAAACGGUAAGGGCUAAUAUCCUUUGCUAAUGACGGUACCUGAAGAAGAAGCACCGGCUAACUACGU
rnacentral:rRNA from 1 species